GAGCGAAAGCCUAAAACUCAAAAGACUUGACGGUGUCCUAAUCUACCUAGAGGAGCCUGUUCCAUAAUCGAUAACCCACGAUAAACCCGACCACCCUUUGAAAUUUCAGCCUAUAUACCGCCGUCGACAGCCCACCUUAUGAAAGAACAAGAGUAGGCCAAAUAGGACUAGCCCCUAAAAAGUCAGGUCAAGGUGUAGCUAAUAAGGUGGAGACAAUGGGCUACAUUUUCUAUAAUAGAACACACGAACUAGUUUUUUAAACAAAACUACGAAGGCGGAUUUAGCAGUAAGCU
rnacentral:rRNA from 1 species